CCUUUGUCACAUUACGCAAAAAAAUGAAGACCGAAAAAAUAUCAAAUUACUGUUGGAAUCUCAAAUUCCUUUUUUUAUUUGGAUUUUGAAAUCUUCUCCCUUUUCUUCCUUCUUACUUCACCGUUACACCCACCUUGUAGUUGUCCAUUUCCCAAUGCUUUGAACCCCAAAUUGUUCCUUGUGUAUAGCCAAAGCUUCACCGAAGCGCCCAGUUUGCUUUCGCACUUUAGAAGGAUCAACAUCAUGGAAAGUAGGCAAAACUAUUUGAUUUAACUUCUCUGUACAUUCUAAUUUUAACAGAACAAUGGUGAGCGGCAUGGGGCUAAAUCAACUUUCCUAAAUUACCAGUAAAGCUGCUGAUGUUGCAGCCGAAGUAGUCCGUAUGUGUUAUUCCAACAAUGCCACAAGAUUCCAGUUUAGGGAAAAGGACGUCGAUGGUCAAGUCACCCGUCUCAUUCGAUUUAUCGGAAGAAAUCGAUUGGCGCAAUCGUGAUCAUGCUCUUCUUCCUUAUCAAUUGAUAUAAGGGUUCUUUUUUCGUUCAGAGGCUUUUCUUAAGUUCGGAGGACUUUGGGUCGGGUAAUGGAUAAUGUUUGAGUGAAUCGGGUUAAAAAAUGGAUAGGUCUUUUUAAUCUAGUGCAGCCAUGUAACACUUAGUCCAAAAUAAGGUUAUAUGUGUACCAUAGUAUAAUAGUAAGCUGCGAAGUAACCACAUAGUGCAAUAGAGGAUAUAUUCAAACAUUUUUCAAUAGUACAGGGGGUAUAGUUGGCCUUUUUCUGUUACGUUAAUCAAACUAACUUUUCAACCAUCAUUUGAUAUUUUCUUCAAGUGUCAUUUUUUUCUCGUGCAAUGUUGGAGUACCUCUUUUUCAAGGGCAAGCAGCAAUCAAGCUGCUGAACCCAAUCUGAAGAUACUUUCCGUGUCUAGUCGAGCUCUAGGUAGGCUUUAGUUUGGUAACUCAUGAGAAACUGAGCAGAACCUACUUGGGUUGAAUGGGUAUGCAGCCCUCUCAAUGGGUCCUAGUCUAUUCGUGUGGCUGGAGAACGCAUGAUGGAUUAUAUGAAUUUGGAUGAUAGAUCAGUUGGGAUGUUUUGGAUUGUAUCCUACACAAUGGCCCAGCCUGCUUGUGAAACUGUGAUGCACUAGUUAACCUCUGCUGGGGUUACUGAGUUUUUACCUGGACCAAAUUUGCAGUCCAACAAGAGAUUAGUGGUGAUGCGUGAAGUUAGUCCGCUGCCAAUAUCAUUGUUAUCAGGAUUUUCCACAAAUUUGUGCUUGAAACUGGCUUAUCAGAUGGAAGAAUCAAUGUUUUCUGGACAGGUUGUGCCUAGCAUUGUUGUGGUUGAAACAUACUGUAGGUUGAUGCUCAUUUCUCCCCAUUCGUUGUUUCGCUCACUCUUAACUGUGAAGUUUUGAAGAAUGACAAAUGAACUCAGUCAUGGACCAGGUCCAUCAUGUGAGGCACAGUAUUUAUCAACCUAGACAUUUGAGAUACACGUGAAGGAGAUAAGUCUCAGUGAUCAAGCAGCAAUAUCUCCUGAACAGAUCGAAAAGUUUGCAUAUUGGAUGAGGAGAGAAAGUCUCCUUAUGGGAAGAGGACACAAUCCGGAUAAAGGAUAGGGUUGGAGUUUGUAUUGUACAAGGACUCAACUUCGAUGGAAGAUCAGCAAUUGAGUCUCAAUCAAACUCUGAUUACUAACUCAUUAAAUAACAGUGAUUAUUCUCUUUUACAAGUGUUGCACAUACGCAGAAGUUAAACUAAAUUGAGAGCAAACGAGCUAGGCAAUUUUGCGAGCAAUUUAUGUGAGAUUUAAGUGUGCACACCUGAAGCUACUUGAACGAGAUAGAAGAACCAGUUCCGUUGUGUUUAUUCUUAUUCUAGUUCAAUUGUAGUAAGUGGUUUAAAGUUGUACCUUUUUAGCUUUCAUAGAAGCAUUUGUAAUAGGUACUUUGAGUGUUCAAGUUAUAGGCUAACUUGAAGGUGUCGCAAUAGUUGAGGCUCUGUGCUACACAGGGAUUAGAGUUAAUCCUUAGGUUUACAAAGAGGUUUUGUAAAUGCUGUUUUGGCUUAGUGAUUUUAGUGGAUGU